rnacentral:lncRNA from 1 species
AGGUCAAAGCAAAGAAAAAGAGGGAGUGUCCCUCCUCCAGGAAGCUCCCAGCCUAGCUGGCGAGCAUGGCCUCCCUUCUCCUCCUGGCCUCCCUUCUCCUCCUGGCCUCCCUUCUCCUCCUGGCUCCACGCCUUCUCUUUGCUUCCUCCCAUUGCCGUUUCUCCUGACGAUCUAAGAAAGAGCAGAAGCCUGAAAUUGGGACCUGGAGGGGACGUCUCUAAUCAAUCUGCAGGAGCAGGCCGGCGGGGAGCAGCGGCUUUAUUUAUUUACUU